CCCACCCCUCUCCUGUGGGCACCUGCCAUUCCAAAGUCACUGCCCUGACUUUCUCCACAUUUCUUAACUUUCACUUUAGGUAGAACACAGAGCAAUGGACCCUCUCUAGGAGACGUCCCCUAGGUGCCACGGAACUAUGUAUGAAGAGUCAUAGGCAUCCUUUUCCAGUGUGUGUAGCUACUCUUGGCCCAAACUAAUAUGAAAAUUAUCUGCAUGGAAGAGAGAGCCUAGCCUACAUGCUUCUUUCUCAGGACCUUCUAGUGUCUCCAAAGAAAGUUACUCCAUGCCAUUAAUGGUAGCUGCCUGAUCCCAGGAAUCCAGU